GAAAUCGCCGCCUCGCUGAAGCAAGUGGAUAGACCGAGGGCCAAUUACGCCCGCCCACUGUUCCCCGAAUUGGCCAAUAACAGUUCGGAGCGUCUCAUCGGUCAUGGGCUCGCUGACCAAUCCGCUUCAGCUAAUUCGUCCAGCGGGCCAAUAGAAGGCCAAUUCUGCCCCUCCUGCUUUACUGCAGAUUUUCGAGGCUUGCAGCCAGCAGCAUCGCGAGUCUCUAGGCUGAAAUUUUGUGUAAAUGGACGCACAAGGUGGAGUACCUGCCUAACAAGGUAAUGAGCACGUUCACAUCUGUGUGCUCCAUCCACGCCUCGCAUCUGCAGUGCAGGCCCCGACACUGUGAUUGGAGGAGGGAGGAGACACACCCCUGUGUGAUUGGACAAGAGCUGAGACUCAGCAUAACGUGACUGGAGUAAGAGAACUUUCAUGUUGCUGGGCUGGCUGAAAAAUCACCAUUGUUUCUGUUGGGACAAACAAAUGGAGGAGUAAAGAGAAAAUGAAAAGAGCGCUAUGAGGAAAAGAGGGGGGAGGCAUUGCAGGAAAGCAGGUGCAGGACUUUGCAAAUCAGCAGAGGAGUGAAUUGACAAAUAUGUAAUGUAACAGCCGGCUUUAUCUCUCUCUCUCUCUCUCUGUCCAUCCGACUCUUCUCCCUCACACCUUUACAUCUCAGAGUAGGAGGGAUCUUUUCCAGUGCUGCUUACAGGCCACUGCAGGUAGUAUUGAACUGAGUAAGUAGUUACAACUGUGGGAAACAGAAUAUGAGCCGUGAGCAUGGGAAAGAUUUGAGCCUAUCCGAGAAGACGUUUAAAGGGCAUGUUGGACAUCCCACCCCUUUAAAUGAGAAAUUCUGUAGGCAGUUAGAGGAAGUCACUCAGCAGGUACAGAAGAGCCAAUGCAACCUGAGCUGAUGGCAUUAAAUAUUAACAAUCAUUUUUUUAAACCAACUGGCAUUACCACUGCCCUAGGGAAACAAGCAAAUGUCAGUCACACAAACACAUGCACUUGCGUUUUGCACUAUUCACAUAAAUUAACAAACAGGAAGUAGGUAUUCCUGUGAUAUUUCACUUACAGAUGCAGAUA